rnacentral:rRNA from 1 species
AGAGUUUGAUCCUGGCUCAGAACGAACGCUGGCGGCGUGCCUAACACAUGCAAGUCGAACGUGAAAGUCCUUCGGGAUGAGUAAAGUGGCGCACGGGUGAGUAAUGCGUAGAUAAUCUGCCUGGUGAUCUGGGAUAACAUCUCGAAAGGGGUGCUAAUACCGGAUAAGCCCACGGAGUCUUCGGACUUUGCGGGAAAAGGGGGGGACCUUCGGGCCUUCUGUCACCAGAUGAGUCUACGUACCAUUAGCUAGUUGGUGGGGUAAGAGCCCACCAAGGCUACGAUGGUUAGCUGGUCUGAGAGGAUGAUCAGCCACACUGGAACUGAGACACGGUCCAGACUCCUACGGGAGGCAGCAGUGGGGAAUUUUGCGCAAUGGGGGAAACCCUGACGCAGCAACGCCGCGUGAGUGAUGAAGGCCUUCGGGUCGUAAAGCUCUGUCAGAGGGAAAGAAAUG